ensembl:lncRNA
UAUCUCCAGAGAAGGAGACUUCAUAGCCUUUCUGGGCAUCCUGUUCCAGCACUCUGACACCCUACAGUAAAGAAGUUUUUCCUCAUGUUCAUACAGAACUUCUAGUUUGUUCCCAUUGCCUCUUGUUCUGUCACCGGGCACCACUGAAAAGAGCCUGGCCCCAUCCACCUGACUCCUGUCUUUUAGAUAUUUAUAAGCAUUCAUAAGAUCCCCUCUCAGUCUCCUUCAGGCUGAACAGUCUCAUGUCUCUCAGUCUUUCCUCAUAAAAGAGAUGCUCCAGUUCCCCAGUCAUUUCAUAGCCCUCCACUGGGCCCUAUCUAGAUGUUGCCUGUCUUUUUUGAACUGAGGAGCUCCAAGAAGCUCGUCUACUAGCUGUUAUUAUCUUUUUGGUCCAAGGAAUAGUGAUCAUCACUACUUCUGGAUUACUGUGGACUGCAAUUGUCAAGAAUUUAUAGUGACAAUUGGAGGUGACUGUCCAAUUGUAUGUAGCAACGAGGUAUGUCCACCAGAUGGCUCUACUUCAAGGAGUAAUACAAUUCUGGAAUUUGAAUAAUAAACUUAGGAGGGUUCCAGUGAUUUCUUUCAAAUAUCUUCAUGAAGAUUUCUUUAAGAAGUCUGCUGAACCAUUAUUGGAGUCGGAGGAUUGUAAUAUUUUUUUGUGGUAUGAAUAUGGCUUUUGCUCUGAGAAAGCCUGAGUAAAUCUCACCAGAUUGUAACACUUUAAAAACUGUAACUUGCACGACCUUGAACACAAAGCAAAAAGCCACUGCAGAUUUCUGCUAUGACAAGGAACAGUCCUCCUUGUUCCAGACCCGAUCCAGGCAGAGGGAGAGGAUGUGGCUUCAUGAACACUUCUAUUAAAAGACUGAUCCUGUACUGUGUGUGAAUAAUGCAUGUAUCUAUCACAUACCACUUUUCUUUUAAGUCAGGAAACCGUCCUUUAUCUGUGCAACCUCAAUUCAUUCCCGUAUAAAUAUUCAUCAUGACGCAGUCUUCAACUUUGCACAAACAGCUUCUCCAGACUAAGCUGUUUGUUUUGGGGACUCUGAUCUUGAUGCGAGCAGCCAGCAGAGCCAUGAAAGAAGCCUCAGUUACAUGAAAUUCUGGAAGCUUCGGAACAAUUGGAAACAAUCUUCUAUUUUAUAAGACGUUUUCAGAUUAAUGUUUUAAUGCAAAAACUAAAACAAGGUAACAGAAUAUAAAACUGAGGUGAGCUGAUGAAUCAGUGGACAUCAUCAUGCAAACUUAACUUUUAUUUUGAUACUAAACAAAUUAGUCUUUCCAUUUCAACUCAGAUUCAACCUAAAUGAUGUAUUAAAUAGUAACAUCAGAGAAAAGUCAUGUUUGGAAGGGACUUCUGGGGAUCAUAGUUAAAUAUCACUUGGGAGGCUAAGAAAAAAAGGGGAAAACGGUGUAAGCUAGACAAUAAAAUUUGAAUC